GUAUUAAAGAUAAGACAAUUGACUUCAAAAGAGAGAAGCCAGAAGGAAGCUCAAAGUUCAUUCAUUCCAUUGGUUUUUUAUAUUUUGGGAAGAGGAAUUUUGUGUGUCAAUGGCAUAGUCUUCUUGUUUUACUGUAAAUGUUUUAGAAAAAUGUUUGGUUUGUUCUCCGGUGGGCUCUGUCCCUACAAUCCAUCUCCCUCUCAACUUCUUCCAUAUAAUUUUGUUACUAAAUCAAAAUGCAACCACGUACCAUCUCUUUUUCUACAAAUUCUCUCUACCUAACAUUUUACACAAUCCUUCCAUCUCUCAAAUAAUAUCUGUCCCUUAUUCUUAAACAUUUUCCCCUUUUUGGGCCAAUCUCAUUAUCCCAACACAACAGAACUAACCCCAUCUCCUUUUAUAACCCUAACGAUUUUGUCCAUCUAGUCAUAGUCGAGUCUGAUUCUUUCUAUUUCCACGCCUUGGUAUCGGAUCGUCCAAAAGAUGCAAAAGAUGUGUACCAAUUGUAUCAUGAUUGUCCCGACUUUCGGUUCUUAGUAGAUGGUACUCAGGAAAAUAGCUCGACGCCCCACAACCGUUUCAUGAUCGAAUUGUUAUCGAAGAUCCACAUGGACUCGAAUAUGCUUUUCUUCGUCUUUAUUGGAGCAUUGUUGCACCCGUCAAUUUCUAUACUGUGCCCAUCGGUCAACAUCUAAGUGACAGGGUUCAGGCAAUUUUCUUGCUGUCUAAACACCAAAUUGAGACUAAAAAAUUGGGGGAAUUCAGAAAUAACCAAAAUAGCCCAACUAUUGGAAAUGAAUGAUCAAUCUCCACAUUAUUUGACAUUUAUAGUGACACGAUCUCUGGUUUGGGUAUGUUUUGUCGUGUCAAGAGAAGGAGGAGAAAGUAAAUUAGUUUUCAAAGACGAAGAAGUUUGUUGCUUUACAUUCGCAGCAGAUUGUUGCAACAGACAACUUUGGUAUCCAAUACCUCUAGGGUAUUUUGGCAAUUGCCUUAUGUUAUGUUACGCUAUAGUAAAAAAGAGUGAGCUUUAGGGGGAAAAUGGGAUGGUUCUGGGAAUGAAAGCAAUUGGAAAAAGAGUGAGAGAUAUGGAAAAAGCGGCACUGAAAGACAUAAAUGAGGGGAUGCCCAUUUUGAAGAUUUUGGGAAAUCAAAUCAAAACGUUCAUGUAGCCAAAUGUAAACGAUUGUGUAACUAAAUCUAAAUGAUCUUGGUACAUAAGAUCGUGUGUUGACUAUAACACUUUUCUAUUUUCAAGCUUUUUCAGUGUUCGAAAUUGUUUAAUAGUUUGUUUUAUU